UACGUAGGGUGCAAGCGUUGUCCGGAAUUAUUGGGCGUAAAGAGCUCGUAGGCGGUCUGUCGCGUCGGAUGUGAAAAUCCAGGGCUCAACCCUGGACCUGCAUUCGAUACGGGCAGACUAGAGUUCGGUAGGGGAGAUCGGAAUUCCUGGUGUAGCGGUGAAAUGCGCAGAUAUCAGGAGGAACACCGGUGGCGAAGGCGGAUCUCUGGGCCGAUACUGACGCUGAGGAGCGAAAGCGUGGGGAGCGAACAGG
rnacentral:rRNA from 1 species